GCAGGAGAGAAGGAAUGACAGCUUUGCCGUGGUGUAGAACCACUCUGCAGAAAGCUCCCGCCCCAGCCCCGGCUUGGGAAGUGAAGUCACAGGAGAGCACCCACCGGCGGGCAGUAGCGCCUGUGACCUGCCUUGGGAAGAGGGACUACAAUGGCCCCGAGGCCACUGCGCAGCUCUCAGAGGAGAGAGCCCAGCUCCCCUGCCUGGGGCUGGGCCUUUUCCAGGCCAGACUUCCCUCGUUCCCUGCAGGAGCAGCUGGGAGCUUCCAUCCGUAGGAUUUGUGCAGAGUCACAGCCAGACUGCGCUUGGUCCCUUCCCCGUCCUGUUUCCCCUGCCCCUCAAUGGUUUCUCCAAGAGCAACUUUGAAAUAAAUUUCUUCGACAUGAAA